AGGUUGGUUAGAUCACGGCUCAUAACCGUCCGGUCGUAGGUUCGAGUCCUACAAGGUCCA
rnacentral:tRNA from 1 species